GAGCUCUGACCUGGAGGACGGCUCGUGCAGGAGCUCCCAGGAGCUCAUGCCCGCCCGGGACCUGGAGGAGGAUGGCCAGCUCUCCGACAAGGGCACCCCCGCUGGCAGAGAGAGCCCGGAGCAGCCCUUUGGGGCUCUGCAGAAGGAGCGGCUCUCGCUGACCACCACCCACACGGGCCGGGCCGGCGGGGAGCCCCCGGAGAAGGAGCGGCGGCGCCUCAAGGAGAGCUUCGAGAACUACCGCAGG